GGUUCUGGCUCAGCGGUACAGCGCUGGUCUAGCACGUGCGAGGUGCUGGGUUCAAUCCUCAGCACCA
rnacentral:tRNA from 1 species